rnacentral:tRNA from 1 species
CAUUAAGUUACUUAAAGCAAGUGAUGGUCUCUUAAACCAAAAUAUAGUAAGGUAGCGUUUAUUCUUAAUGA